rnacentral:rRNA from 1 species
UGCCAGCCGCCGCGGUAAUACGAAGGGGGCAAGCGUUGUUCGGAAUUACUGGGCGUAAAGCGUGCGUAGGCGGCUUUGCAAGUUAGAAGUGAAAGCCCCGGGCUCAACCCGGGAAUUGCUUUUAAGACUGCAUUGCUUGAAUUCGGGAGAGGAUAGUGGAAUACCCAGUGUAGAGGUGAAAUUCGUAGAUAUUGGGUGGAACACCAGUGGCGAAGGCGACUAUCUGGACCGACAUUGACGCUGAGGCACGAAAGCGUGGGGAGCAAACAGGAUUAGAUA